CGAGGAGGAGAGGAGGAGGACGGGGGACGGCGCCCUUUUUCCUCUUCCCACGCCCCUUACCUGCACCAAGAGGAGCAGAGGACAGAGAAGGGGGUCAGAUGAGGCAUCUAAAGACUUGCACAGAGCUCAGAGAGGAGGACAGAGCCAUGGCCACCAUGGUUUCUUCGUCCAGGGGUGGAGUCUUCUUCCUGGGCUUCUUCUUGGCUGGGAGGCCCGGCUUGGAUGGGCCUUUUCUUUUAGUGCCACCAGUCUGUGUGCUGAAGAGAAAAACAGACGAAAGGUAAGAGGACUGAUUAAACUCUUUUGUCUCUGCAGAGCUUGCAGCAGCACAGCCGGAGCGACGCCCAUUUCUGAGGAGCAGCGCUUGAGGUGGGCCGAGCGACUCUUCU